UGCAGUCGAACGAUGANGGGAGCUUGCUCCUGGAUUAGUGGCGAACGGGUGAGUAACACGUGAGUAACCUGCCCUUAACUCUGGGAUAAGCCUGGGAAACUGGGUCUAAUACCGGAUAUGACUCCUCAUCGCAUGGUGGGGGGUGGAAAGCUUUAUUGUGGUUUUGGAUGGACUCGCGGCCUAUCAGCUUGUUGGUGAGGUAAUGGCUUACCAAGGCGACGACGGGUAGCCGGCCUGAGAGGGUGACCGGCCACACUGGGACUGAGACACGGCCCAGACUCCUACGGGAGGCAGCAGUGGGGAAUAUUGCACAAUGGGCGGAAGCCUGAUGCAGCGACGCCGCGUGAGGGAUGACGGCCUUCGGGUUGUAAACCUCUUUCAGUAGGGAAGAAGCGAAAGUGACGGUACCUGCAGAAGAAGCGCCGGCUAACUACGUGCCAGCAGCCGCGGUAAUACGUAGGGCGCAAGCGUUAUCCGGAAUUAUUGGGCGUAAAGAGCUCGUAGGCGGUUUGUCGCGUCUGCCGUGAAAGUCCGGGGCUCAACUCCGGAUCUGCGGUGGGUACGGGCAGACUAGAGUGAUGUAGGGGAGACUGGAAUUCCUGGUGUAGCGNNA
rnacentral:rRNA from 1 species